rnacentral:misc_RNA from 1 species
AAGUCGUAACAAGGUUUCCGUAGGUGAACCUGCGGAAGGAUCAUUAACACGAAUUUUAUCCACUAUCAAACCAAACGCGAACCUUUCCCCUCCCUAUUUCGAAGCUCUUACCUUCGGGUAAGGGUUGUCGACUUAGGCUAACCUUUUUUAAUACCAAACAUUUUUAACCCCUUUUUAAUUACUGAAGUCACUGGCUAACGCCCUUGACUAACUAACUAAAAAAUCUUACUUAAGAUGCACUAUUGUGUUGUCUUAAUUAAUAUUUUUUCUUUACGAAAUAAAUAUUAGUAUAUAAGAACAACUCUUAGCAAUGGAUAUCUUGGUUCUC